GACGAACCGUCCAAACGUUAUUCGGAUUAACUGGGCUUAAAGGGUGCGUAGGCGGCCCGGAAAGUUGGGUGUGAAAGCCCUCGGCUCAACCGAGGAAUUGCGCCCAAAACUACCGGGCUCGAGGGAGAUAGAGGUGAGCGGAACUUAGGGUGGAGCGGUGAAAUGCGUUGAUAUCCUAAGGAACACCUGUGGCGAAAGCGGCUCACUGGGUCUCUUCUGACGCUGAGGCACGAAAGCCAGGGGAGCGAAC
rnacentral:rRNA from 1 species